rnacentral:rRNA from 1 species
CGGGUGAGUAAUGCUUGGGAAUCUAGCUUAUGGAGGGGGAUAACUACGGGAAACUGUAGCUAAUGCCGCGUAAUAUCGAAAGAUUAAAGUGUGGGACCUUCGGGCCACAUGCCAUAGGAUGAGCCCAAGUGGGAUUAGGUAGUUGGUGAGGUAAAGGCUCACCAAGCCGACGAUCUCUAGCUGGUCUGAGAGGAUGACCAGCCACACUGGGACUGAGACACGGCCCAG